rnacentral:miRNA from 1 species
UCAGACAAUGGUGACUCUCAAG